CGAGGUCAGGAGCAGGAAUCCUGUUCCCUACUGGUGAAGAAAUGUCUCCGCUUUCGGAGUAUGCACUGCGCAUGUCUCGUCUGAGUGCCCGGAUCUUUGGUGAAGUGGCCAGGUCUACUGACUCAAAGUCCAUGAAAGUGAGAUGAGCAUCAGGACUUUAAGGAUGAGCAACGACGUCUAAAGAAGCUCCGUGGGAAGGGGAAACCGAGGAAAGGAGAAGGGAAGAGAGCUACAAAAAAGAAAUAGCAUCAGCUCAUCAAGAAAGCAAAUGCCUUCCUCAGUGACUAAGAAAGUGCAUCUCAUUAUCUUCCCGAGUAUUAGAGGAACAUGACUUCCCUCAGUAGACGCCAACCCUGUGUUCACGUUUUACUUCAGUUAAGCUGUGACUGGUUUCUUGAAGAUAAUAUUCUAAUCCUUCAAAAUUAUAAUGACCUUGGUUUUGUAAUCUGAAGCAUACCUAAUUCUAUAAUGGAGUGAAUAAACUAUUGUUGACUG
rnacentral:lncRNA from 1 species